GGGACAGAAAGGGGGUGGUGGGUUUUGUACCUUCCCCCAGUCCCCUAGGGGAUGGCUCUGCCCCCCUAGGGGGCGUCCCCAUGGAAUGGUGUCCUCACCAAGUGGUGGAAAGACGUGGCCAUGGAGUGAUGUCCUCGUGGAGAGGUGUCCCCAGUGAGGGACGUCCCCACUGCACCACGUCCCCAUGGAGUGACGCCCCCAUUGAGCGAUGCCCUGACCGUGCGAUGGCUCCAAUCAGGUUCCCCACUGAGUGACAUCCCCAUGUCCCCAUACCUUCCUGGGCCAUGGCAGCGGUGACGGCGCUGAGGACAACGAUCCACAUCGGCGCGGUGCCCAUGGUGUCGCUGCGCUGCUGGAAAGCAUUGAGGAGCAGCACGAGGGGCACGAGGCAGCAGUGAAGCCCCCCCAGCGCCGCGCUCAGCCCCAGUGCAAAAUCAAAGCUCUCAAAGACGCCGCAGUCG